CCGCUCCCAAAGAAAUAGCUCUCAUCUUUUGGCGGGUUACACCUGAGAAAACCGGGCUUUGUAAUUAGCAAGAUAGAGAUCUCCAUGAUUCGAAAUACGUGCUAAGCCGGUGGCAGCUCCUGCCCACCCAGGCACAGACGACGCCAACGCAGAGAUAACCUGAAGAGAUGCGGUUCCAGGGAAAUCUAAUCUCAACCCAGAAAUAACGGCCUCUUCUCGGGAAACAGCCAUCUUGAAACAGGCUCCCCGGGAUGGCAAGAGCACUGAAUGAGGUUUGGGGGAUCAAACUCAGGCUCCCGUCUGUACUUGCAUGGAAAGCACUGAGCCAUCGACAGAGCCCUGCACCGCCUUUUGGAUCCCAGCAUGAACAAACAGCUAUAUAAACGUCCCAGUUCGUCACUGAUGGAGUCAGGCAGGAACAUGGAGGCAGGAACUGAUGCAGAAGCCAUGGAGGAAUGCUGUGUAUUGGCUCAUUCUUACGGCUUCUUCAGUUUGGUAAAACCCGGAGAUGGCUAUGCCCCGUACACUGGAGACUGGGCCCUCCCACAAAAACCUUAACUAAGAAAUGCCCUAUAGAUUUGUCUACAGGCCAACACAAUGAGAGCGUUUUCUUCAUUGAGGCUCCAUUCUUGUGGAUAGCUUGUG
rnacentral:sRNA from 1 species